GUUGCUGGGGGGGGGGGAUGGGGUAACUAGGUGAUGGCAUUAAGCAGACGACCUGAUAUAAUGAGCACUGGGUGCUCUAUGCAAACGAUGAAUCACUAAGCUCUACCCAGAAAUCAGUAAUAUGCAGUAUGUUAACUAACUUGAAUUUAAACAAAACAAGACCAUGUGAAGACACAGAGACACGGGGAGAACGUGAUGUGAAGACAGAGGCAGAGUGGCCAGCAACCACCAGAAGCUAGAUGAGAAGCAUGGGAUGGAUUCUCCAUCUGAGGCCCCACGAAGGAACCAACCCUAUCGACACCUUGAUUUCAAACUUCUCAUCUCCAGAACGCAAAUCAUUUCUGAGCAUUUGCUCUUUGCCAGGGGCCCAGCAUGGAGAAGACAUGGUCCCUCCCUCAGAGUGAAGUCUUUCUGUCGAUCUCUUGCAAGACUCAUAUAACCCAAAAACCUGGAGGGAGCCCCUGAAUCUGGCCUGUUGGUGUCCUUCCUCCUUCAACCAGGGGUCCCUGCUUAUUGCUCCCAAGUGUAGGAAAGACGGGCCCCUGUGGCCCCUCCCUAGACCCUUUCACCAGAGCAGAUCUCCCAAGACCCAGAAUCAUCCAGACAGAAGGGGCUGCUUUUUGGACCAAAAGCAGUUGUCUGGGCUUGCUUAUCAAGAGGAACUUUCCACACCUUCCUGAGAGAAGAGAACAGAGGCUUUGAGAGAAAAUCAUGGGUUCAGAAACUCCCCAGGGAACAGAACGAGGUUCUAACCCUCACCUAACAGCACCUGGGGCUGGGGGCAGACAGGGGCCAGGAGCACGGCCUACAGGGUCCCAGCGGUGCAGGCAAGAGAAGAUAUACCCGCUCCCAAGGGACUGUGUGCAUGGUGCCUCAGCAAGUGACAGAGGGACCCAAAGAACAGGGACCCCCCCGCCAAAUGGCUCAGGCUCUCAUGGACCUCUGUGUGACCCUGGAGGUUAGAGAAAAGGGACUCCUAAGGAUAACUGAGGCUGAGUUUCCCACCAUCUUGUUAGGAUGGGCUGGGGGCUCCUUAAUGAUGACCUUUAAUGUUUCAGAAUUAAAGAAAGGGGGGUACUUCUUAUA